rnacentral:rRNA from 1 species
GACGAACGCUGGCGGCGCGCCUAACACAUGCAAGUCGAGCGAAGCGGCGGACGGGUGAGUAACACGUGAGAAACCUGCCUUUCACAAGGGGAUAGCCUCGGGCAACCGGAAUUAAUACCAUAUGGUGAAAGAUGGUCUCGCGCCUGAUUAGCAAGUUGGAGGGGUAACGGCCCACCAAGGCCAUGAUCAGUAACCGGCCUGAGAGGGUGAACGGUCACAUUGGAACUGGGACACGGUCCAAACUCCUACGGGAGGCAGCAGUGGGGAAUAUUGCACAAUGGAGGAAACUAUGAUGCAGCGACGCCGCGUGAGCGAUGAAGGCUUUCGAGUCGUAAAGCUCUGUCCUAUGGGAAGCGGUACCAUAGGAGGAAGCCCCGGCUAACUACGUGCCAGCAGCCGCGGUAAUAC